rnacentral:rRNA from 1 species
UACGUAGGGUGCAAGCGUUGUCCGGAAUUAUUGGGCGUAAAGAGCUCGUAGGCGGUUUGUCGCGUCUGCUGUGAAAACUCGGGGCUUAACCCUGGGCCUGCAGUGGGUACGGGCAGACUAGAGUGCGGUAGGGGAGACUGGAAUUCCUGGUGUAGCGGUGAAAUGCGCAGAUAUCAGGAGGAACACCGGUGGCGAAGGCGGGUCUCUGGGCCGUAACUGACGCUGAGGAGCGAAAGCGUGGGGAGCGAACCGG